rnacentral:rRNA from 1 species
UUUGAUCCUGGCUCAGGAUGAACGCUAGCGGCAGGCCUAACACAUGCAAGUCGAGGGGUAACAUGAGUGCUUGCACUUGAUGACGACCGGCGCACGGGUGCGUAACGCGUAUACAAUCUACCUUUUGCUGUGGGAUAGCCUUUGGAAACGAAGAUUAAUACCGCAUAGUAUGCAGACUUCUCAUGAAGAUUGCAUUAAAGGUUACGGCAGAAGAUGAGUAUGCGUCCUAUUAGCUUGUUGGUGUGGUAACGGCACACCAAGGCAACGAUAGGUAGGGGCCCUGAGAGGGGGAUCCCCCACACUGGUACUGAGACACGGACCAGACUCCUACGGGAGGCAGCAGUGAGGAAUAUUGGACAAUGGAGGCAACUCUGAUCCAGCCAUGCCGCGUGCAGGAAGACUGCCCUAUGGGUUGUAAACUGCUUUUAUACGGGAAGAAACACUGCUACGUGUAGCAGCUUGACGGUACCGUAAGAAUAAGGAUCGGCUAACUCCGUGCCAGCAGCCGCGGUAAUA